rnacentral:rRNA from 1 species
AGCACCGGCUAACUACGUGCCAGCAGCCGCGGUAAUACGUAGGGUGCAAGCGUUAUCCGGAAUUAUUGGGCGUAAAGGGCUCGUAGGCGGUUCGUCGCGUCCGGUGUGAAAGUCCAUCGCUUAACGGUGGAUCCGCGCCGGGUACGGGCGGGCUUGAGUGCGGUAGGGGAGACUGGAAUUCCCGGUGUAACGGUGGAAUGUGUAGAUAUCGGGAAGAACACCAAUGGCGAAGGCAGGUCUCUGGGCCGUUACUGACGCUGAGGAGCGAAAGCGUGGGGAGCGAACAGGAUUAGAUACCCUGGUAGUCCACGCCGUAAACGGUGGAUGCUGGAUGUGGGGCCCGUUCCACGGGUUCCGUGUCGGAGCUAACGCGUUAAGCAUCCCGCCUGGGGAGUACGGCCGCAAGGCUAAAACUCAAAGAAAUUGACGGGGGCCCGCACAAGCGGCGGAGCAUGCGGAUUAAUUCGAUGCAACGCGAAGAACCUUACCUGGGCUUGACAUGUUCCCGACGGUCGUAGAGAUACGGCUUCCCUUCGGGGCGGGUUCACAGGUGGUGCAUGGUCGUCGUCAGCUCGUGUCGUGAGAUGUUGGGUUAAGUCCCGCAACGAGCGCAACCCUCGCCUCGUGUUGCCAGCGGAUUAUGCCGGGAACUCACGGGGGACCGCCGGGGUUAACUCGGAGGAAGGUGGGGAUGACGUCAGAUCAUCAUGCCCCUUACGUCCAGGGCUUCACGCAUGCUACAAUGGCCGGUACAACGGGAUGCGACGCGGCGACGCGGAGCGGAUCCCUGAAAACCGGUCUCAGUUCGGAUCGCAGUCUGCAACUCGACUGCGUGAAGGCGGAGUCGCUAGUAAUCGCGAAUCAGCAACGUCGCGGUGAAUGCGUUCCCGGGCCUUGUACACACCGCCCGUCAAGUCAUGAAAGUGGGCAGCACCCGAAGCCGGUGGCCUAACCCCUUGUGGGAUGGAGCCGUCUAAGGUGAGGCUCGUGAUUGGGACUAAGUCGUAACAAGGUAGCCGUACCGGAAGGUGCGGCUG